GACGCUCAACCGACUGAGCCACCCAGGUGCCCCAAAUCCAGUCGUAUUUUAAAUGAGAUAGGGGUUGGGGACAUAAGUAAGCAAGGCUGUUCUUUCGUGGGCUUCUCCUUGGGAGUUUUGGUCCGGUUCCAAAACAAUCUCACUGUGUCGCCUAUUCCUUAUCAUAAACACAGAAAUUCAGAUGACUCAUUCAGUGUUGGAAUCCGUGUUACAUUUUUUAUUGUUGUAGUUGUGGCUCUGUUCUCUACGCGGAGCCUAAAUUACUUAGAAAAUACAUCAUUUUAUAUUUAUCACAAAAUAGAUCAUUUGACAAGUGUAAGAAAGCCCACCACUUGUGGCAUUUAAUAUUUCUUGUGUAGGAUGGAACUGUAAGUUUUCUGGAAGCGAAGGAACUACCAAACUAAUACUAAAAAGUCAAGAGAAACAGAAAGAGGGAUUUAAAAUCUUACAAGACCCAAGUGCGUGACGGAAACAGAUGAGAUCGUUGGCCUGCUCUUUGCCCACUGCUUUCUCUCUGGCCUUCGAGAGCCCCCUCCCCACCCAGGAAACCCUCCUGUCCAUGGCCCUAGCACUUUCCAGACUGCCUUCCCUCAGACGAGACCGCUGCUCGACCAUCGUUCUGUCCUGUCCUUGGUGGACAGCGUCUCCGAGACGCCCUCCCAGAGCACCGCAAGCUCAGGGCCGCCUCCUCCCGGACCUUCUGCUGUUGCCCCCACCGGCUGCGCAUCCUUCCGUCUUUCUCCAGGUCCGUCAGCACCCGGGACCCGUGUAUACGUGUGUACGUGUCCUGUCUGUCCACGUUGGUUGCCCUCAGGAGGAUCAGCCCAGUGGGGCAAAUAAGACCCCUUGGCACCGCGGGGCAGGCGACGAAUGGCGAUGAAGGAUGGCAGGCAUAUCUGUUUGUCCGCUCGACGGGCAGCCUGCAAACGGCUUCGGACCGGCGACUCCUGGUGUGCUCUCAGCAGGGGAGAGUCACGUCAUUUCCAGGUUGGCAUAUGAUGUUAGGAUGUGUGACCAGGGUGACCUACGGUGACACACAAGACCUGUAGCAACGUGUCAGGCGCAAGAACCCGCCACUGCCGGAGUCAGGGGGAGGUGCGGGUAGGGCGAGCUCAGCGUGUGUGGCGCCCAUCGUGUGCGGUGUGGUCGGCAGCCCAGGGAACCGUCCUCUGACGCCGUUGCCUCCAGAACCCGUGAUCCCUUUUCCACGAGCCGGAGUCUCAGACACAGGACUAUAUGCAGACGUUAGGUCCCAGAUGACGCCAGGGUCUGUGGGAUGUCACCACGCCUCCCGCAAGGGAAGACUAGUCCCAGAGCUGACCCGGGGCUGAGGUUCACAGGACCAGCGGGUGACGGACAGGGGGACCAGACAGGGAGGCGCUGUGGCCGCGGACAUCCCAGAGCAGGAGAUUGUGACUGUUUCCAGCACUAUCACAACGGGUGGGGCUGAGGUUCAUUCCCCUCAAAAUUAUUUGGGCGCAUUCUUCUAUUUUUGCCACUCUUUCAACAAGGGUCUGCAUCUGAUUAUAAUAAAAACCCAUGAGCCGUG